AUUGAACGCUGGCGGCAGGCUUAACACAUGCAAGUCGAGCGGGGUGAUGGUGCUUGCACUAUCACUUAGCGGCGGACGGGUGAGUAAUGCUUAGGAAUCUGCCUAUUAGUGGGGGACAACAUCUCGAAAGGGAUGCUAAUACCGCAUACGUCCUACGGGAGAAAGCAGGGGAUCACUUGUGACCUUGCGCUAAUAGAUGAGCCUAAGUCGGAUUAGCUAGUUGGUGGGGUAAAGGCCUACCAAGGCGACGAUCUGUAGCGGGUCUGAGAGGCUGAUCCGCCACACUGGGACUGAGACACGGCCCAGACUCCUACGGGAGGCAGCAGUGGGGAAUAUUGGACAAUGGGGGGAACCCUGAUCCAGCCAUGCCGCGUGUGUGAAGAAGGCCUUAUGGUUGUGAAGCACUUUAAGCGAGGAGGAGGCUUACCUAGUUAAUACCUGGGAUAAGUGGACGUUACUCGCAGAAUAAGCACCGGCUAACUCUGUGCCAGCCGCCGCCGUAA
rnacentral:rRNA from 1 species